rnacentral:rRNA from 1 species
UACGAAGGGGGCUAGCGUUGCUCGGAAUUACUGGGCGUAAAGGGAGCGUAGGCGGAUCGUUAAGUUAGAGGUGAAAGCCCAGGGCUCAACCCUGGAAUUGCCUUUAAAACUGGCGGUCUUGAGUAUGGCAGAGGUGUGUGGAACUCCGAGUGUAGAGGUGAAAUUCGUAGAUAUUCGGAAGAACACCAGUGGCGAAGGCGACACACUGGGCCAUUACUGACGCUGAGGCUCGAAAGCGUGGGGAGCAAACAGG